rnacentral:rRNA from 1 species
GGGUCCGCAGGGGGUUUACUUAGUCAGAUGUGAAAUUUCAGGGCUUAACUCUGAACGUGCAUUUGAAACUGGUAGACUAGAGUAUGUGAGAGGUGAGCGGAAUUUGUGGUGUAGCGGUGGAAUGCGUAGAUAUCACAAGGAAGGCCAAAGGCGAAAGCAGCUCACUGGCACAAUACUGACCCUCAGGGACGAAGGCUAAGGUAGCGAAAAGGAUUAGAUACCCUUGUAGUCUUAGCAGUAAACGUUGUACACUCGAUGUUGGUCUGGUUAGUCGGAUCAGUGUCUAAGCUAACGCGAUAAGUGUACCGCCUGGGAAGUACGGUCGCAAGACUAAAACUCAAAGGAAUUGACGGGGGCCCGCACAAGCGGUGGAGCAUGUGGCUUAAUUCGAGGCAACGCGAAGAACCUUACCCGGGUUUGACAUUGAGCGACGUUAGAUGAAAGUCUAAUUCCCUUCGGGGCGCAAAAACAGGUGCUGCAUGGCUGUCGUCAGCUCGUGCUGUGAAGUGUUCGGUUAAGUCCGGCAACGAGCGCAACCCAUAUCCUUACUUGCUAACAGGUAAUGCUGAGAACCUUAAGGAGACUGCCCGUGUUAAGCGGGAGGAAGGUGUGGACGACGUCAAGUCAGUAUGGCCCUUACACCCGGGGCUGCACACGUGCUACAAUGGCCGGUACAAAGGGCUGCGAUACAGCGAUGUAAAGCGAAUCCCCAAAACCGGUCUCAGUACGGAUUGGAGUCUGCAACUCGACUCCAUGAAGAUGGAAUCGCUAGUAAAUGUGCAUCAGCUACGGCACAUUGAAUACGUUCCCGGGCCUUGUACACACCGCCCGUCACAUCAUGGGAGCUGAGUUCACCCGAAGUCACCAUAUCAACCUGCUUGCAGGAGAGAGGUGCCGAAGGUGGGCUUAGUGACUGGGAUG